GGGCGAAUAGCUCAGUGGGAGAGCACCUGCCUUACAAGCAGGGGGUCACAGGUUCGAAACCUGUUUCGCCCACCA
rnacentral:tRNA from 1 species